GUUGGAUCAGCCAGUAACCUCUGAGGCUGCGACUCUCGCUCAGCACAGUGACUCUGAGGUUCGUUGGGUGUCCAGCACUUGGUGGUUCCUCUGAUGGCUGAGGGGUGCUCCACGGUGCAGAUAUGCCACUGUUUGGGUAGCUGUUGACUUGUGUCAGGACAUGUGGAUCGUUUCCAGCUUGUGGUUUUCCACAAAUAAAGCUGCUAAGAACCUUCGUGGAUAGGUUUUGAGUGGACGUAGGUUUUCCUCUCUCUAGGAUGAUGGUCACAUGGUUGGCGUAUGUUUAACUUUAUAAGAACAUGCCUGGCAGAGUGGCUGCAGCUUUUCACUUUCCCAUCAGAACUGUAGGAAUGUUCCAGUUGCUCCGUCAUUUGCUUUAAACACAAGGGGCCUCUUUGGCGCUCCUUCCUCCCGUGGUGCUCAGCUCGGGGCCACUGCCCUGGGGGCUCUUUGUGAUGUCUGGGGACAUUUUCGUUGUCACAACUUGUAGGAGGCUACUGGCAUCUUGUGGGUAGAGGCCCGGGUGCUGCUAAACACCCUCCUAUGUGCAGGCGGCCCCCCAACAGGGAGUCGUCCACCCAGGAUGCCAGCGAUGCCUGCUUGAGAUGAACCUUGACUGACCAUGUGCAGCCCAGCGGCCCCACCAUUUUCCCCGGGUGUGAGACAUACAUUUGAUCCUCUCACGUGAUUAUCUGCCUCUCUCAUUUGAGACCAGGAUGGAGAUAUACAGAGAGAUGCACACAGUGCUACCAUGAGUACUGAACGAUGCAGUGUAUCAAUGGGGUCCGGUGGGGAGCAGCCUCACCUGGCACUCACGCCUCCCACCAAUGGUGCCCUAUCCACGUCACUACAGAUGCGGGACCACGGGGCUCCCUGGACCUCUGAUCUGGCCUCCUCCAGCUGAGGACCCUUGCCAUCUCAAGGGCUGCUCAGGGAGCCACCUGCCCCUAUGUCCCCGCAGCUCCCAGCAACUCACAGAAGCUGGGAGGGCUCUCUCCCCAACUGUCUUCUUACUUUUGAGGCUCCCACAUUCUGCUAGCUUCUUCACAUGCCGAAAAUGCUGCAAACCUCCUGCACGGUCCUCUCUCUGCUUCUUUGACCUCCACCCCCCACCCACCCAAAGUGGGGGUCUUCAUGGCAGGGCCAGGUGGGGUCCUUCCUGCCACUGGGUCCUGGGCCAGAGCACAAGUUUCUGCAGCCUCUCCUCCUCCCGUCAGGCCUCCUGGUCCACGCUCACUGCUGGGCAUGGUCGCUGCCCUCUCUCGUUCUGUCCAACUGCCCGGCUGCCAUCUCUACAGCCCUGUACCACGCUGGACUGCGGGCUGUGCCACCUGCUGCCCACCGCCUUCUGUCAAGGGUGUGCGAGAUGCCACCAGCCCCGGGGAGCUUCAGUAUCUAAAGAAACAGACUGCUUUGUAAAGUGACAGGGGAGUGGCGCACAGUUCCCGUGAUUUUUAAAAUGAAAAUUGCACGUGGGGGGACGUGGUGCUGGGAAUUGUGUGCAGCCUGUGAGGGACCUGUGCCCUGUGGGGAGGGGGCUCCGUGGGGAAGGUGCCGGGCUGCUGGCAGGGCGGGCGUGCAGGGAGAGGCGGGACGGCCGCAGGGGCCAGCUCUGCGGAGGAGUCGCCUUCUCGGUGGUUAUUGGGAAAGAAGAGAUUGUCAUUUAGAAACCGAAGGGCAGGGAGUGUGAGGGAGAAUAACACAGGAAAAGCAGACGCUUUCCUAGACCAGACAGUGCACGGGGGAGCCCACAAGCUUAACUCAAAGACUUUUCAUUAUAAUUUGUAAAUAAAAAUUAAUUUAAAUUUUAAUUUAAUUAAAAUGGACAAAAUACUGCAAGACAAACAUUUUGAAGACUGGAGUCAACCCUGGCCAGGCAGUCCCUGCAAAGGCCCAGGAUGGGAGGCGUUACGAGGCCAUGUGGGGUUUGUGUUAAAAUGCAGACACUUCUGUGUUUCUCAGAG
rnacentral:lncRNA from 1 species